rnacentral:rRNA from 1 species
UGGCUCAGAUUGAACGCUGGCGGCAGGCCUAACACAUGCAAGUCGAGCGGCAGCACGGGUACUUGUACCUGGUGGCGAGCGGCGGACGGGUGAGUAAUGCCUAGGAAUCUGCCUGGUAGUGGGGGAUAACGCUCGGAAACGGACGCUAAUACCGCAUACGUCCUACGGGAGAAAGCAGGGGACCUUCGGGCCUUGCGCUAUCAGAUGAGCCUAGGUCGGAUUAGCUAGUUGGUGAGGUAAUGGCUCACCAAGGCGACGAUCCGUAACUGGUCUGAGAGGAUGAUCAGUCACACUGGAACUGAGACACGGUCCAGACUCCUACGGGAGGCAGCAGUGGGGAAUAUUGGACAAUGGGCGAAAGCCUGAUCCAGCCAUGCCGCGUGUGUGAAGAAGGUCUUCGGAUUGUAAAGCACUUUAAGUUGGGAGGAAGGGCAGUUACCUAAUACGUAUCUGUUUUGACGUUACCGACAGAAUAAGCACCGCCUAA